ACUUAGACUCUGUUAUUUGGUUACUUUCUCCUCUUGGAUUAUUAUUAAGCCCUGUGCUGGCCAACAUGUGGCUCCUAGCCACAGAUGGCCACUGAGUGCUUGAAAUGGGCUAGGUCAAACUGGAAUGGUUCUAAGUAUGGAAUGCCGAGUGGAAUUUGGGGACUUAGAACAAAAAAAGCUCUGUGGAUGAAGACAGAAGCCAAUGUGUGGAGAUGAGUGAAUAAAUCAUGCUUGUGAAUGGUGAAAGAGAUGCCUGCACCUAAAAGUUGUGUUCAUUCACCGAGUGAUUCGUGCCUCAAGAACUGGCUUCUGUAGCAGCAAGAGGCUUCUGUUGUCAAGAUCUGGUGAACGUCCACACCAACGACAAAAUUCCUGAUGUGGAAAACCAACCUUUUACGAGCCACAAUCACACAAACACAGAGGAGAAAGCAUGAAUUCAGAAUCUUCUAAAAAUUCAUAUCUAAGAUGGAAGGGACUUGGCUUGAGAGUUUGAUUUCAACUUCUGUAAUGUAUUCAGAAUCCACCAUCCUUUAUUUACUACUAACUGCCUUCAAGUGAUCAGGUUCAGAAACAGAUUUCAGGAGGUUAUUUUGACUCAGUUCUCUGUUUUGAAUGAUCUGAGUCAUGUGUGAAUCUAUACCCACCCAGCCCAGAGGGGCAGAUUGCUGGCAGAGGGAAGGUAUUCUAUAUGCAGAGUGAAAGGGAAUGUUCAGGAUAAGUAGCAGAAAUCACCUAAUGCACAAAAAGUCCAACCUGGGCUGUUUUGAGGCAAACAGUGGUAUGGUUACUGCAAGCAAUUAUCUGCUGAAGUAAUAAAUGAAUAACACAAAA